CUAACAGGUUAGCUCCGUCCAUUUAUAAAAACAGUCUAUGCUAGCAGGUUAGCUCCGUCCAUUUAUAUAAACAGUCUAUGCUAGCAGGUUAGCUCCGUCCAUUUAUAUAAACAGUCUAUGCUAGCAGGUUAGCUCUGUCCAUUUAUAUAAACAGUCUAUGCUAGCAGGUUAGCUCCGUCCAUUUAUAUAAACAGUCUAUGCUAGCAGGUUAGCUCUGUCCAUUUAUAUAAACAGUCUAUGCUAGCAGGUUAGCUCCGUCCAUUUAUAUAAACAGUCUAUGCUAGCAGGUUAGCUCUGUCCAUUUAUAUAAACAGUCUAUGCUAGCAGGUUAGCUCCGUCCAUUUAUAUAAACAGUCUAUGCUAGCAGGUUAGCUCUGUCCAUUUAUAUAAACAGUCUAUGCUAGCAGGUUAGCUCUGUUCAUUUAUAUAAACAGUCUAUGCUAGCAGGUUAGCUCUGUCCAUUUAUAUAAACAGUCUAUGCUAGCAGGUUAGCUCCGUCCAUUUAUAUAAACAGUGGCAGCUAGCAGGUUAGCUAUGUCC
ensembl:lncRNA